rnacentral:lncRNA from 1 species
GUUACAAGUUACGAGUUUCAAGCUACAAGGAUAAAAGGCUUCCAAUGAAAAUGACUGACUACUAGCCUGUUCGUUAAUAAGAGGAAGUUCAUGAAGAAAGGAUGGUCGUUUCUAAAGCACAAGUACUGGAGGCGAUCAGAGGAGCAGAGCAUCGGAUCAUUCAGACACUGACACAGCUAGACGCCUUCAACCAUCGAUUUGAGUCAAUAUUACACGAUGGU